AGCGCUACAGCCUCCUCCCCGAACCCACGUGGGCGGAGCAGCGCGGGGGUGUGCGUGGCAGGGGCCUAGGCGGCGGGUGCUGUGCGCGGGGCGGGGGUGCAGGCAGGGCGGCCUCGCCCCCCACCCCGCCGCCUCCGGCCUCCAACCUCUGUGCCACCUCGGCCGGGACGCGGGGGUACCCGGACCUACUCAGUGGGUAGGACACCGAGAGAACCGGCCGGCCACGCCCCCCGCGCCACUCCCUGGAGGCAGCCGACACCAAGGAAUGUAAAGGUUCAAUAACUUGCCUCAGGGCACCAACUCAGUGGCUGAGUUGGGGAUUGGAACCAGCAGACCUGGCUUCCACAGUGGCCGACACCGCUCGGGCUCUCUGCAUCUCCUGAGUAGCAGAAAACUACCCCACUGCUGGCGCUGUUACUCUCAUUUUCUGGAAGAGACAAAGGAGACUCAAACAAAAGGAUCUGGAAACUACAGCCAGGUCUCCGACCCCAAGCCCACGCUGCCAUCAGCUCACGCUCGGAUCCUAAAAGAUGACGAUGGGAAUUAUGCUGAGCUCAACAGCUGCGUGAUUCCAUUUAUAGAACUUUAUCAAAACGACAGGAUUAUAGAAACAGAGGACCGAUGCGUGGCACCAGGAGUUGGGGAGAGGGAGGGUGGUGGCCGUGUCUAUAAAGGGGUAGCGGGGUGGCACUGGGUUCUACCCCGAGGGUACCCUGUGGCGGUGCACACGCCAGUCUACACGAGUGAUAAAAUCGCACAGAACUAAGUUCGCGCGCACAUGCGCCCGCGUGAGCUCAGGUAAAGCCACGGAAAUCUGAUUGAGGCUCACCAACACCUGCUGAAAUCCGUGCUAGCUUCUUCAGGGAACUCGCCUCAUGCUUUUGAAAGGCUGAUGACAUCCCAUGAUGUGCGCCUUCUCCCUGCCCUUGCCGGCUAAGAACAAUGGGCAGGAAAUAUCCUGAUGCUGACAGAUUACCUUCCCGAGAUUCUGUGACACCUGACCCUUCUGCCUCAAUGCACACAGUUCCCACCAUCAACCGAUGCCAGGGCAUGCUGUAAACGUUGCCAUCCUGAUGAGUGCGAAGUGAUCUGUCCUUGUGACUUUAGUUUGCAUUUCCCUGCCUACUGGGGAAUCGGGGAGAACUUGAAUAUAUGUUUGACUUUAGAGGUGCUCUUUUGAGAAUUGGCUUCUUACCCUUUGUCCAUUUUUAGUUGGGGCUUUUGCUUUUGUCCUUUGGACGGGGGCGGGGGGAGUGUUUCCAGGGUUGUUUUUUUUUUUUAAUUUUAUUGAAGUAUAGUUGACAUAUAAUGUCAUAUUGGUUUCAGGUGUACAAUAUAGGGAUUUGGCAAUUCUAUACAUUAUUCAGUGCUCACCACAGCAGGUGUGGUCUCCACAUGUCACCAUAAACGUUAUCACAGGGCUAUUAUUUUUAUUUUUUUAAUGUUUAUUUAUUUUUGAGAGAGACAGAGUGUGAGUGGGGGAGGGGCAGAGAGAGGGAGACACAGAAUGUGAAGCAGGCUCCAGGCUCCGAGCUGUCCGCCCAGAGCCCGACGCGGGGCUCGAACCCACGAACGGUGAGAUCAUGACCUGAGCUGAAAUGAAGAGUCCCACGCUUAAUCAUCUGAGCCACCCAGGCGCCCCCCCCUCUUCACCUAUCUCUUCCUCCACCCCGCUCCCUCCCUUCUGGAAACUGUGUUUUUCAAACCAUGUUCAUCAUCAGGAUUGUUCUCCAUACUUACGAGCGCGCUCCCUUUUGUCCAUUUUUAAGUGUUCUCGGCAGAGCGGAUACUCCUCUGCUGGUUCUCGGGUUCAAGCACUUUUUCCAGACCUUUCUUGCAUCUCUUGACUUUGCUUGUGGCAUCU